ACUUAGGAGCACAGCCAGGGAAGUGGAACUUAGAGUCACAGAGGAGAAGGGGCACAGUGAUGCAGAUUCUUAUCACAUUGAGGAGGAGAACAUUUGUUUUGCUUAGUAUGUUAUUGUUGGUGACUUUAAAAAGUGUACAAGCCUUAGUUCUACAGUAGUGUGAAAACAUACUUUCUGCUAGUUGGGGUGCACUUAGGAGAUGAAAACAGUAUCAUGUAUAAUGCCUCCAAAUAAAGAGGUCUCGUCCAAAUUCUGCAUUCCAUUGCCAUAGCAGAGACAUAAGCUGACAACAGCUCGAAUGACCUUUCCUCUUUAUUUCCGCCUUGCCAUUGUUCCCUUCCUCACCACUUUGUCAUGAGCACUGCUGUUUGAUUCCAGGGGACAGUAUGUCUGGACCUGUGUGGGAGAAUAAUGAGCCGCCAGGUUGUCUGGACCAAGGCCUGCAUUUAUGAUGCUUUCUGUGGUGUUUGAAACGUGGAGGCACAGCCCUUCCUCCUGCUGGUCUGGGACACUCUGUCAGUGACUGAUAUUGAAACCUUUGAAAUCUAGAAUUAACAUUGAUUUUUUUUUUUUUUUUUACAUACCAUCAUGUAUGUCAAAGGAUUAAUUGAAUGGAGCCUAUAAUAUAAGUUCUUGGGAGGUGGUAUCAGGAGAUCAGAAGUUCAAACUCAGCCUUGGUGAUAGGCCAGCCUAGGCUACAUAGGAUGAUAGCUCUAAAACCAAACCAAACCCUUAAGUGUUAAUGGUUGGUAUUGAAUAAUAGUUCUGGGGGACAUAGAACCAGAGGUACCAAACCUGAAGAGUUUGCAUCUAAUAGUUUAAAUGUGAAAGAAGUGCAUAAGUAAUACGUGACUUUAGAGUGAGUUCAGGCUUCCAUUUCUACAUUCCUCAAGUUUACUUCUUUAUCAUUUGAAGCCAGAUUUUUUUUUUAAUUCUAAGGAGAUAUGAACUCAAGUACAUAAUAACUCAUAAAUUAAAAAACCUGUUUCAAGAAAUAGUCUUUAUGAUAUAAAUGCAUAUUUUUGUUCUGUUCUUUGUUUUUUCGAGACAGGAUUUCUCUGUGUAGAAUGUCCUGGAACUCACAUUAUAGACCUAAGGUGGACUUUGUCAUGGAUGUUUUAACCUUAAGUAACAUAGUGUUAGGAAGAAGUCAAGACAUCCUCAUGCCACAGAGGCCUUUCACCCGUUAGUCCUGGCCAGUAUCUCUGAUGAACAGUGCAGAAAUUCUCGAUAAAACCCCGAUACACAGAAUUCAACAUCACAUCACAAAGUAAAUCCUCAGGAUCAGGUGGGUUUCCUCCUAAGGGUGCAAGGAUGGUUCAGCCCAUGCAAGUCAGUAAAGGCAGACACAGAAUAUACACAGAAUAUAUACACAGAAUAGAGAUCCAGGGGCUGGUAAGAGAUGGCUCAGUGGUUAAGAACAAUGGCUGCUCUUCCAGAGGUCCUGAGUUCAAUUCCCAGCAACUACAUGAUGACUCACAACCAUCUAUAGGAGGAACUGAUGCCCUCUUCAUGCAGGCCGAUGUAUAUGCAGCAGAGCACUCAGACAUUAAAUAAAAUUUU
rnacentral:lncRNA from 1 species